GAACUCUGGGUAUUGAUUGGUGCUUGCAUCAUGAUUUACAUUUGAGUGAGUGGCGAACUGGUGAGUAACACGUGGGAAACCUGCCCAGAAGCGGGGGAUAACACCUGGAAACAGAUGCUAAUACCGCAUAACAACUUGGACCGCAUGGUCCGAGCUUGAAAGAUGGCUUCGGCUAUCACUUUUGGAUGGUCCCGCGGCGUAUUAGCUAGAUGGUGGGGUAACGGCUCACCAUGGCAAUGAUACGUAGCCGACCUGAGAGGGUAAUCGGCCACAUUGGGACUGAGACACGGCCCAAACUCCUACGGGAGGCAGCAGUAGGGAAUCUUCCACAAUGGACGAAAGUCUGAUGGAGCAACGCCGCGUGAGUGAAGAAGGGUUUCGGCUCGUAAAACUCUGUUGUUAAAGAAGAACAUAUCUGAGAGUAACUGUUCAGGUAUUGACGGUAUUUAACCAGAAAGCCACGGCUAACUACGUGCCAGCAGCCGCGGUAAUACGUAGGUGGCAAGCGUUGUCCGGAUUUAUUGGGCGUAAAGCGAGCGCAGGCGGUUUUUUAAGUCUGAUGUGAAAGCCUUCGGCUCAACCGAAGAAGUGCAUCGGAAACUGGGAAACUUGAGUGCAGAAGAGGACAGUGGAACUCCAUGUGUAGCGGUGAAAUGCGUAGAUAUAUGGAAGAACACCAGUGGCGAAGGCGGCUGUCUGGUCUGUAACUGACGCUGAGGCUCGAAAGUAUGGGUAGCAAACAGGAUUAGAUACCCUGGUAGUCCAUACCGUAAACGAUGAAUGCUAAGUGUUGGAGGGUUUCCGCCCUUCAGUGCUGCAGCUAACGCAUUAAGCAUUCCGCCUGGGGAGUACGGCCGCAAGGCUGAAACUCAAAGGAAUUGACGGGGGCCCGCACAAGCGGUGGAGCAUGUGGUUUAAUUCGAAGCUACGCGAAGAACCUUACCAGGUCUUGACAUACUAUGCAAAUCUAAGAGAUUAGACGUUCCCUUCGGGGACAUGGAUACAGGUGGUGCAUGGUUGUCGUCAGCUCGUGUCGUGAGAUGUUGGGUUAAGUCCCGCAACGAGCGCAACCCUUAUUAUCAGUUGCCAGCAUUAAGUUGGGCACUCUGGUGAGACUGCCGGUGACAAACCGGAGGAAGGUGGGGAUGACGUCAAAUCAUCAUGCCCCUUAUGACCUGGGCUACACACGUGCUACAAUGGAUGGUACAACGAGUUGCGAACUCGCGAGAGUAAGCUAAUCUCUUAAAGCCAUUCUCAGUUCGGAUUGUAGGCUGCAACUCGCCUACAUGAAGUCGGAAUCGCUAGUAAUCGCGGAUCAGCAUGCCGCGGUGAAUACGUUCCCGGGCCUUGUACACACCGCCCGUCACACCAUGAGAGUUUGUAACACCCAAAGUCGGUGGGGUAACCUUUUAGGAACCA
rnacentral:rRNA from 1 species